rnacentral:rRNA from 1 species
UCGGUGGGGAUUAGUGGCGAACGGGUGAGUAACACGUGGGCAAUCUGCCCUUCACUCUGGGACAAGCCCUGGAAACGGGGUCUAAUACCGGAUACGACACUCUCGGGCAUCCGAUGAGUGUGGAAAGCUCCGGCGGUGAAGGAUGAGCCCGCGGCCUAUCAGCUUGUUGGUGAGGUAACGGCUCACCAAGGCGACGACGGGUAGCCGGCCUGAGAGGGCGACCGGCCACACUGGGACUGAGACACGGCCCAGACUCCUACGGGAGGCAGCAGUGGGGAAUAUUGCACAAUGGGCGAAAGCCUGAUGCAGCGACGCCGCGUGAGGGAUGACGGCCUUCGGGUUGUAAACCUCUUUCAGCAGGGAAGAAGCGAAAGUGACGGUACCUGCAGAAGAAGCGCCGGCUAACUACGUGCCAGCAGCCGCGUAAUACGUAGGGCGCGAGCGUUGUCCGGAAUUAUUGGGCGUAAAGAGCUCGUAGGCGGUCUGUCGCGUCGGAUGUGAAAGCCCGGGGCUUAACCCCGGGUCUGCAUUCGAUACGGGCAGACUAGAGUGUGGUAGGGGAGAUCGGAAUUCCUGGUGUAGCGGUGAAUGCGCAGAUAUCAGGAGGAACACCGGUGGCGAAGGCGAUCUCUGGGCCAUUACUGACGCUGAGGAGCGAAGCGUGGGGAGCGAACAGGAUUAGAUACCCUGGUAGUCCACGCCGGUAAACGGUGGGAACUAGUGUUGGCGACAUUCCACGUCGUCGGUGCCGCAGCUAACGCAUUAAGUUCCCCGCCUGGGGAGUACGGCCGCAAGGCUAAAACUCAAAGGAAUUGACGGGGGCCCGCACAAGCAGCGGAGCAUGUGGCUUAAUUCGACGCAACGCGAAGAACCUUACCAAGGCUUGACAUACACCGGAAACGGCCAGAGAUGGUCGCCCCUUGUGGUCGGUGUACAGGUGGUGCAUGGCUGUCGUCAGCUCGUGUCGUGAGAUGUUGGGUUAAGUCCCGCAACGAGCGCAACCCUUGUUCUGUGUUGCCAGCAUGCCCUUCGGGGUGAUGGGGACUCACAGGAGACUGCCGGGGUCAACUCGGAGGAAGGUGGGGACGACGUCAAGUCAUCAUGCCCCUUAUGUCUUGGGCUGCACACGUGCUACAAUGGCAGGUACAAUGAGCUGCGAAGCCGUGAGGCGGAGCGAAUCUCAAAAAGCCUGUCUCAGUUCGGAUUGGGGUCUGCAACUCGACCCCAUGAAGUCGGAGUUGCUAGUAAUCGCAGAUCAGCAUUGCUGCGGUGAAUACGUUCCCGGGCCUUGUACACACCGCCCGUCACGUCACGAAAGUCGGUA